rnacentral:rRNA from 1 species
AUGGAGACCCUCCUCUCCCCCUCCGCAUUGCUCGGCCCGCUCCGGGGCUCCAGGAGCAGGAAGCCAGCGGCCCCCGCCGCCGUCUCCUGCUCGCUCAAGAAGCAGGCGCAGGCGGGCGUCGCCUGGCGUGGCGACGGCGACGGCGACGGCGGCGUCGGGAGCUGGGCGUCGUUCCUGCACCACGGCCUCGCCGCCGCGGCGCUGUCCCUGGCCCUCACGCUGUCGCCGGCGCCCGCGCCGGCCGCGGCGUCGGAGUUCGACGUGCUCAACGACGGGCCGCCGGCCGACACGUACGUGGUGGACGACGCCGGCGUGCUGAGCCGCGUGACCAAGUCCGACGUCAAGCGCCUCGCCCGGGACCUCGAGGCCCGCAAGAACAUCCGGAUCAACUUCGUCACCGUCCGCAAGCUCACUAGCAAAGCCGACGCGUUCGAGUACGCGGACCAAGUGCUGGAGAAGUGGUACCCGACGGUGGAGGACGGCAGCAACAAGGGGAUCGUGGUGCUGGUCACCAGCCAGAAGGAGGGCGCCAUCACCGGCGGCCCGGCCUUCGUGCAGGCCGUCGGCGACGCCAUCCUCGACGCCACCGUCUCCGAGAACCUCCCAGUGCUGGCGACGGACGAGAAGUACAACGAGGCCAUCUUCUCGACGGCGAAGCGGCUGGUGGCGGCGAUCGACGGGCUGCCGGACCCGGGCGGGCCGGCGUUCCAGGAGAGCAAGCGGGAGUCCAACUUCAAGAGCAAGGAGGAGACGGAGGAGAAGCGCGGGCAGUUCACGCUCGUCGUCGGCGGCCUGCUCGUCAUCGCCUUCGUCGUGCCCAUGGCGCAGUACUAUGCCUACAUCUCCAAGAAGUGA